CAAUAAUAACGAAAAUCGUAAAUCUGUUUAGUUUUACAAGUAAAAACCAAUAUUUUUAUGAUUUAUAUAUGCACUGUAGUAUAGAAAAGUUGGUACUCGACCUCUAUUUUGUCUUACCCUUCACGCGACGAGGGAAAUGAUUUAAUUUGUUCCACUUUCAUACAAGAAAUCGUUCAACAAUGGCAGAUGAGCAGCAAUUCUGUCUACGCUGGAAUAACUUCCAGAUGAACAUAACAUCCCAGUUUGAGGCAUUACGUGAUGAAGAAGACUUUGUGGAUGUGACAUUGGCUUGUGAGGGACAGCGUCUAAAAGCACAUAAAGUUGUAUUAUCAGCUUGUAGUCCUUACUUCAAGGAACUUUUCAAGAGUAAUCCUUGCAAACAUCCUAUAUUGUUCAUGCGUGAUGUGGAAUUCAGACAUUUGAAGUCUCUGGUAGAGUUCAUGUAUGCUGGAGAGGUCAAUGUUGCACAGGCACAGUUAUCAGCAUUCCUUAGAACUGCAGAAUCACUACAAAUACGUGGACUCACAGAAGCACCACAGAGGCAUUCAAGGUUUGAUGGAGCAACAUCAGAUACUGGACACAGCCGGCGUGGUACACGCAGUGGCAUUCCGACGUCACCUAUAGCAGGAGCUCCAGAAGAAGAUGAUAUCCUGAGCCUAAGCCCUCCUGCCUCCCCAUCUCCUCCUGCCAAACGCCCAUGUACAGCACCAGAUCCAGCAAAUAUCAAGAGAGAAGCUCCAGAUAUUGUUGAGCCAAAACUGGAAGUCCCUGACUAUAGCAGUGAUGGAGAAAGCAGAACAGAAAGUGGAAAUGGAGCUCAUUAUGGUGGAAUAGAAAAUCCUCUUGAUGCGAAAUCAGCAUAUGCAACUGGAGGACUACAAGGUGGAAUGGAGAUGAUUCCUGGAACAUCCGCUGCACACAAUUUCCUCUCAGACGUAUCAACACUGCCACAGGAGCCAGCUUCACAAGCUGGACUUGCUUGCCAGGAAACCGUGUGGGCUGGUGUCCACCAACACUGCUGCGGCAUGCCAUGUCUUCCUGGUCCAGGGACCACUCUGCCCGAUACUUUGGAACUCCUCCUAAUUUUGUUGGCGAUGAACAAGACUCAAAGGAGAUGGUGCCUUUGGCUGCUGGUGUCCUGGUACCUGCUUCUCUGCUGCAACGAGUUAAUCGAGCUGACUAUCGGAAACUCACCCGCGGUCUUGCAUCAGCUCUUUUCUCACCCCUUGAACUAGGAUCAAGUUCAGUGACUGGUCAGCGGUGGACUCGAGCAGGAUAUUGCUCAGGCCGACCAACGAAACCUGCUCUGGAUCGGCGUCGUGUGGAAGCCAUUCUCGCAUAUGUUGGUACACAUUUUCCCACCAUCGAACGCAGCAAAGUGAAGCAGGUACUGGCAUACAAGUGUAAAGAAAGUGCUGCUGCACUGAGGGUACGUG
rnacentral:misc_RNA from 1 species